rnacentral:rRNA from 1 species
GCUCACUAGUCGAGUGACCCUGCGCCGAAAAUGUACCGGGGCUAAAACAAUUUACCGAAGCUGUGGAUACCUUUAUAGGUAUGGUCGGAGAGCGUUCUAUGUGUGGUGAAGGUGUACCGUGAGGAGCGCUGGAACGCAUAGAAGUGAGAAUGCCGGUAUGAGUAGCGAAAGAUGGGUGAGAAUCCCAUCCACCGUAAGACUAAGGUUUCCAGGGGAAGGCUCGUCCGCCCUGGGUUAGUCGGGACCUAAGGAGAGACCGAAAGGUGUAUCCGAUGGAC